rnacentral:rRNA from 1 species
UUCUGGUUGAUCCUGCCGAAGGCUACUGCUAUUGGAGUUCGAUUAAGCCAUGCGAGUCUAAGGGAUCUUCGGAUCCCUGGCGUAAUGCUCAGUAACACGUGGAUAAUCUACCCUCAGGUGGGGCAUAAACCCGGGAAACUGGGGCCAAUUCCCCAUAAAUACAGAUGGCUGGAAUGCUUCUGUAUUCAAAGCUCCGGCGCCUGAGGAUGAGUCUGCGGCCUAUCAGGUUGUAGUCAGGGUCAAGACCUGACUAGCCAGCGACGGGUAUGGGGUGUGAGAGCACUUGCCCAGAGAUGGUUUCUGAGACACGAAACCAGGCCCUACGGGGCGCAGCAGGCGCGAAAACUUCGCAAUGCGGGAAACCGUGACGAGGGAACUCCGAGUGUCUAUGCAUUGCAUAGACUGUUUUUUAGCCUAAAUAGCUAUUAGAGUAAGGGGUGGGCAAGACCGGUGCCAGCCGCCGCGGUAACACCGGCACCCCGAGUGGUAGCCACUAUUAUUGGGCCUAAAGCGUUCGUAGCCGGUUUGGUAAAUUCUUGGGUAAAUCGUACCGCUCAACGGUGCGGAUUCCGGGGACACUACCAGACUUGAGACCGGGGGAGAUCAGAGGUACUUGCGGGGGAGCGGUGAAAUGUUGUAAUCCCGCAGGGACCACCAGUGGCGAAGGCGUCUGAUCAGAACGGCUCUGACGGUGAGGAACGAAACCCUGGGGCGCAAACGGGAUUAGAUACCCCGGUAGUC